rnacentral:sRNA from 1 species
GCCGGGCAUAGUGACGCAUACCUGUAAUCCCAGCAGCUCUGGAGGUUGAGGCAGGAGGAUCGUAAGUUCAAAGCCAGCCUCAGCAAUGGUGAGGCGCUGUGCAACUCAAUGAGUCCCUGUCUCUA